rnacentral:rRNA from 1 species
CCUACGUGAGGCAGCAGUGAGGAAUAUUGGUCAAUGGGCGGGAGCCUGAACCAGCGAAGUCGCGUGAGGGAAGACGGUCCUAUGGAUUGUAAACCUCUUUAGGCGGGGAGCAAAGCCGGGCACGCGUGCACGGAGGGAGAGUACCCGCAGAAUAAGCAUCGGCGAACUCCGUGCCAGCAGCCGCGGUAAUACGGGGGAUGCGAGCGGUAUCCGGAUUGAUUGGGUUUAAAGGGUGGGUAGGCGGAGUUUGAAGUCAGCGGUAAAAUGUCCGGGCUCAAUCCGGGACUGCCGUUGAAACUGGGGAUCUUGAGUGGGCGAGAGGUAUGCGGAAUUCGUGGUGUAGCGGUGAAAUGCAUAGAUAUCACGCAGAACUCCGAUUGCGAAGGCAGCAUACCGGCG